rnacentral:rRNA from 1 species
UAGGGAAUCUUCCACAAUGGACGCAAGUCUGAUGGAGCAACGCCGCGUGAGUGAAGAAGGUUUUCGGACCGUAAAGCUCUGUUGUUGGUGAAGAAGGAUAGAGGUAGUAACUGGCCUUUAUUUGACGGUAAUCAACCAGAAAGUCACGGCUAACUACGUGCCAGCAGCCGCGGUAAUCGUAGGUGGCAAGCGUUGUCCGGAUUUAUUGGGCGUAAAGCGAGCGCAGGCGGAAGAAUAAGUCUGAUGUGAAAGCCCUCGGCUUAACCGAGGAAUUGCAUCGGAAACUGUUUUCUUGAGUGCAGAAGAGGAGAGUAGAACUCCACGUGUAGCGGUGGAAUGCGUAGAUAUAUGGAAGAAUACCAGUGGCGAAGGCGGCUCUCUGGUCUGCAACUGACGCUGAGGCUCGAAAGCAUGGGUAGCGAACAGGAUUAGAUACCCUGGUAGUCCAUGCCGUAAACGAUGAGUGCUAAGUGUUGGGAGGCUUCCGCCUCUCAGUGCUGCAGCUAACGCAUUAAGCACUCCGCCUGGGGGAGUACGACCGCAAGGUUGAAAC